rnacentral:rRNA from 1 species
AUGGGCAAGGACAAUAUUGCUAAUUUACUAACCUCUAUAAGAAACACCGACAUGAAUAAGAAAGGAACAGUUUGUGUCGUAUCUACAAGUAUUAUCGAAAAUAUUGUUAAAUUACUUCUACGAGAGGGUUUUACUGAAAUUGUUCAGAACCAUCAGGAACCUAAUCGAUAUUUCUUGGUUUCAACUUUUAGUCAUCAAAAGAGAAAGACUAGAAAAGGAUUAUAUAGAAUACAAAUCUUUUUUAAGCGUAUCAGCCGACCAAGCUUAGGAAUUUGUACCAACUAUCAGGGAAUUCCUAAAGUGUUGUGUGGAAUGGCUGUCAUUCUUUCUACUUUUUGAGGGAUAAUGACAGAUCGAGAAGCUUGGCAGGUGUUACUGUUUUGA